AAGACAAGUAAAUAAUGUUCAGGGUGUUGGUACAACAAUACAGAUCGAAUUUUAAAUGCAAAGGGGCUUCCAUUGCAAAAGUCUAUGUUGUGGCAAACCUGAGUAUGGUCUGAUGCAAGUCAGCAGCUGUAAGCGGCGGUCGUGUCAGUGGUGGGAACAAAGACGGUUUUGCCGAGAUGUCCUGCUGAGUUAUUCAAGGAAACAGAGGAGGUCUUCACACCACCCUCUCACUUGAGUAUCUUACCUAGUUAUUUACAGAUUCUCAUUUUGCACUUUUUUUUUUUUAGCUUUGUCAACUAUGUGUGUUUUCUAUACCUGUUCGCACCUCUACCUGUAGGCUUUACAGACGCUCCCCACCCCUUGGCUGCAACCCUUCUAAUUUAGUGUACCCUGCGCGCACAACCCAUGUGGAAUUCUGGAUCUCUGGCAACGUAUGGAACUGCUGAUCUCCGUUGAAGAACACUGAGUUCACCUAAGCCUAUGCUGCCCUUCAGUCUUUACUUUUUGUCCCUGAUGGAGACAUGGAUCACCCCAGAGAACACUGCUACUACAGUGGCUCUUUCUUCCCCUGACUGUGUUUUCUCUCAUAGUCCGAUAGUAUAUGAUCGUUGCGGUGAUAGCAUAGGUCUACUAAUUUCCCCUAAGUGGAGAUUCUCUCACCUGUCCAUCUCCUCAUUUCAAUUCCAUGCUGUCACUUGUAAACUCAAGGUUAACAUUAUUGUUAUCUAUCGCCCACCAGGUGCCCUUGGAGAGUUCUUCAAUGAGCUUGACACCUUGAUAAGCUAAUUUCCUGACGACGGCUCACCGCUCUUCUUACUUGAACACUUCAACCUUACAACGUCUGCCUUCGUUUAAUUUCUUUCAACUCUCUCUUUCCCCUCCUUGCCUCUUUUGACCUCACCCUUUCCCAAUACCUUCCAACUCACAAGGCAGGCAAUAUGCUUGACAUCAUCUUUACUAGAGGCUGCUCACCUACUGAUUUCACUGCAAUCCCCCUCCAGGUCUCUGAUCAGUACUUUGUUUCCUUUUCUGUCUCCCUUUCCUCCAACCCUAACCACUCAGCUCCCACCCAGAUGGUCAUGCACGGUUACAAUCUUCGCUCUCUCUCCCACUACUCUCUCCUCUUCUAUCCUAUCAUCUCUCCUUUCUGCCAAAUCCAUCUCCCUUCUGUCUCCUGAUUCUGCCUCUUCGACCCUAACACGCUUCCCUUUAGGCAUCCUAUGACUCGCACUGUCCCCUUUCGUCCCGGCACUCCCCUCCUGCUCCGUGGCUGAGUGACUCAUUACGAGUUUACAGAACAGGGCUGCGGGCAGCUGAGCAAAAAAAUGGAGAACUAAACUUCCGUAGGACAUAUCAGCCUUCCACUCCCUCCUAUCUACCUUCUUCCAACUGUAUCCAUUGCUUAAGCCACUUUAAAUGUCAAGCUUCUGCCUCUAACCAUAGGAAACUCUUACACCUUCUCCUCCCUCCUUAAUCCUCCACCCUUCCCCCUCUGCGGACGACUUUGUCAAUCACUUGACCGCAUUCACUCAGCCUAUUGAGUCCACUGGUCUAACACACAGAACUACCCUAUGUCUUGACCUCUUUCUCCCCUCUCUCACCAGUUGACAUCCUGCAACUAGUGAGGCCUGGCCACCUGACAACUUUCCCGCUCGACCCCAUCCUCUCCUCCCUUCUUCAGACCAUCUCUGGAGACCUUCUCCCAUUCCUCACUUCACUCAUCCCUUACCUCUGGCUGCGUCCCCUCUGACUUGAAAAUGGCUUGAGUUGCACCUCAAGAAACCAACACUCAACUCAUCUGACAUCAAAAACUAUAGACCUGUAUCCCUUUCUUUUCUUUCCAAAACACUUGAGCAUGCUUUCUUUGAUCAACUUUCUUGUGAUCUCUGUCAAAUCUUCUUGACCCGCACCAGUCAGGCUUCAAUAAGGGUCACGCAAACGAGACUGCUCUUCUCUGUCACGGAGGCUCUAUGCACUGCCAAAGCUGACUCUCUCCUCUAUACUCAUCUUACUAGAUCUAUCUGAUGCCUUUGACACCGUGAACCAUCAGAUCCUCCUGUCCACUCCCUCAAGGCUGGGCGCCUCAACCUGUCGUUCUCUGCAAACAUCAAAUCAGGGACCCGCUCCUGCAGGUUCAUGCUCUACAACAUCCUUAGAGUACGACCCUACCUCACACAGGAAGUGGCACAGGUCCUAAUCCAGGCACUUGUUCCGUUUCGACUACUGCAACUCACUGUCGGCUGGGCUCACCGCUUGUGCCAUCAAACCCCUGAACUUUAUCCAGAACACAACAGCCUGCCUGUUUACACUUUACUUCCCCUGAAGCAAGUACAGCAGAGUCCCUGCCCAUCUUCCGAAAACAUCUGAAACCCUACCUCAUCAAACAGUAUCUUAAAUAAUCUUCCUGUAAGUCGCUCUGGAUAAGAGCAUCUGCUAAAUGACUAAAAUGUAACAAUAUACUGUAUGACUUUAAAGAUGGUUACAUGAAAUGUAAGCUGUUGUAUUCGGUGCAUGUGACAAACUUUGAUUUGAUUUAAUUUGCUCUGUUAAUCCUACCCUUUGGAAUGACUUCAAUAGCAACAGUGAGACCUUAUCCUUCACAAUAUUGCACACUGCUAGUAGUCAGUGGCAAUAUCAAAGUUAAGCUGGGUUGGGCUUGGUUAAAACACGGGACAGUAGACCAAAGGAAUAGCUGUAGAUAUCUCCCCCCCAGUGGGAGGUGCUAUCCAGCCUACUGCUUUUUUCUGAGAGUGGAUAUAACGUUGAAUAUCUGACAUUGUUUCAAAGCUACAAAUUCAACAUAUUUUAUAGUUUGUCUGUUAAAUUGGUUACCAUAACAUUAUCCUGUGGUUGAAAUGUCACUCAAAAACAGUUGAUUACUUUUUUUCAAAUCCAAUGCAUUUCCCAAGUAGACUCCACGUCACAAUACGUUAGCAAAUUACGUUGAAACAACAUUGAUUCAACCAGUUUGUGCAGUGGGAAGGCUCUAUUCAUUUACAUGUCAUGCUGUUAUAUGCCACACUCCAUCAAGAAGGCAUGUAAUUGUUCAAAGUUAGGAGCACUCAUUUCUUCCAAGCGACUUAGGAAACGAAAGCUAAGCUGUCUUUACCAGCUGUUUACGCUUUACAAGCGGUACUCGUCUAGUCCCAGCAGCCCCAAAUCUGUCCACCAAAAUGAAGACCACGAAGAGAGGAAUUUUUUGUAUGGAGGUCAAUGAGUGUUGAAUUUGGUCAACAACAAAAAUAUUGCUAAUUUGCUAAGUGAGGAUAAUUUGAUUGAAUAAUAGUUUCAUAAUGGUUAGGUUAUUACGAUUGUACUGAUGUAAGCAGGAAUUUUGGCAACUUUGAAAAAAAUGACUUGUAGUUUUGCCUGUUGUCAUAGACUCCAUGAUUUACAAUCAAUUUUAGCAUGGACAUUGCCAUUGUGGACUUCCACCAUUUUAAAGGUGGGUAAUUCCUACAAAUUGGGAGCCAUCAGCCGAUGAAGAAAAUGGACUACUUUGAAAUGGAGAUAUCCUCAAUGUUUCUAUCUGUGCCAUUAUACCAUCUGUGACAGCAUCAUUAUGUCUUCUAUCUCUAUGGCCUGUUGUUCACACACUUAUCUGCCCUCUAAUUGGCUAGAAUGGUCUCACCUGAUCUCGCCUCCUACCGCCUGCCUUCCAUCUUUGAGGACAUAUACACUACCGUUCAAAAGUUUGGUUUCACUUGGAAAUGUCCUUGUUUUUGAAAGAAAAGCACAUGUUUUGUCCAUUAAAAUAACAUUCAAAUUGAUCAGAAAUACAGUGUUGACAUUGUUAAUGUUGUAAAUGACAAUUGUAGCUGGAAAUGGCAUAUUUCUUAUGGAAUAUCUACAGUUGGAAGUCGGAAGUUUACAUACACUUAGGUUGGAGUCAUUAAAACUCGUUUUUCAACCACUCUACAAAUUUCUUGUUAACAAAUUACAGUUUUGCAAGUCAGUUAGGAGAUCUACUUUGUGCAUGACACAACACAUUUUCCAACAAUUCUUUACAGACAGAUUAUUUCAGUUAUAAUUCACUGUAUCACAAUUCCAGUGGGUCAGAAGUUUACAUAUACUAAGUUGUCUGUGCUUUUAAACAGCUUGGAAAAUUCCAGAAAAUGUCAUGGCUUUAGAAGCUUCUGAUAGGCUAAUUGACAUCAUUUGAGUCAAUUGGAGGUGCACCUGUGGAUGUAUUUCAAGGCCUACCUUCAAACUCAGUGCCUCUUUGCUUGACUUCAUGGGAAAAUCAAAAGAAAUCAGUCAAGACCUCAGAACAAAAGUUGUACAGCAAAUUGGGAGCAAUUUCCAAACGCCUGAAGGUACCACGUUCUGUACAAACAAUAGUACGCAAGCAUGAACACCAUAGUACCACGCAGCCGUGGUCAACUAGUCUAAAGAAGGCCCGUUUUAUUGCUUCUUUAAUCAGAACAACAGUUUUCAGCUGUGUUAACAUAAUUGCAAAAGGUUUUUCUAAUGAUAAAUUUGCUUUUUAAUUUGCUUUUUAAAACUUGGAUCAGCUAACACAACAUGCCAUUGGAACACAGGAGUGAUGGUUGCUGAUAAUGGGCCUCUGUAUGCCCAUGUAGAUAUUCCAUUAAAAAAAUCUGCUGUUUACACCUACAAUAGUUAUUUACAACAUUAACAUUGUCAGCACUAUAUUUCUGAUCAAUUUGAUGUUAUUUUAAUGGACAAAAAAAUAGCUUUUCUUUCAAAAACAAGGACAUUUCUAAGUGACCCCAAACUUUUGAACAGUAGUG
ensembl:lncRNA